rnacentral:rRNA from 1 species
CCUACGGGGUGCAGCAGUGAGGAAUAUUGGUCAAUGGUCGGGAGACUGAACCAGCCAAGCCGCGUGAGGGAGGAAGGUACAGAGUAUCGUAAACCUCUUUUGUCAGGGAACAAAGGCGGGGACGUGUCCCCGGAUGAGUGUACCUGAAGAAAAAGCAUCGGCUAACUCCGUACCAGCAGCCGCGGUAAUACGGAGGAUGCGAGCGGUAUCCGGAUUUAUUUGGUUUAAAGGGUGCGCAGGCGGUCUGUUAAGUCGGCGGGAAAAGCCCGGGGCUCAACCCCGGCCCGCAGUUGAAACUGGCAGUCUCGAGUUGGAGAGAGGUAUGCGGAAUGCGCGGUGUAGCGGUGAAAUGCAUAGAUAUCGCGCAGAACUCCGAUUGCGAAGGCAGCAUGCCGGCUCCACACUGACGCUGAGGCACGAAAGCGUGGGUAUCGAACAGGAUUAGAUACCCGAGUAGUC